GCGUUAUUUAGGUAUGCGCCAUACAAAUUGUAUGGACAAGAGAGUUUUUUGACAGUCAUUUGCACAUACUACAAUGAAGCGAUCAAAAUCUCCGCCAUGGCCGCCAUUCAUAUGAAAAAACAAUUUGAAGUGAGUGGAUAGCGGUAAUAUGGUUGACUGGAUGCUGCAGCUUAUUUUAAAGGAAUAUAACUGCAGAAAAUGGUCUCGGAAGGCAAAGCGAGCUGCAACGCACAUCUGGUGCGUACAUGCAUAACUAAAAAGAGAGUCAGAACAAGGAUUAUAACACUUUAGUACUCAAUACUCUACUUUACAACUCUAACUAAUAACUUGUUUACACUUUGCUCGACAACUCUCUCUCCUUAGAAUUGUCCUCACUCGACAACUCUCUUAUCAGAACUGUGUCUUGCUGCCAGUCCGGCAGCCCUUAUAUAAUCGAUUAUAAACGAUACAUCAGCACUCGAACAUUCUGGCAACUACGAAUAUCGAUGUCUAGAUACAUUUGGCAAGUUAUCGAUUUCGAUUGUCUAUUCUAGGUUGUUCUGGUGCCAUUUUCGUUACAAUAUCAAACAUUAGUGGUACUCAUUUAACGUCGUAAACGUAUGGCAACAUCGCAAAAUUACAAUGUCGUAAGACAGCUGUUAAUUUUUACAUGCAUUUCAUUUUACGACAAUCUUGCAAAUAUGCGAGACCUUUUUCACUAGCAUUCAUGGCAUGCUUACAAUUAGUUCACAAUAAGCUGAUAGGUAUUCAUGGCAUGCUUACAAUUAAUUCACAAUAAGCUGAUAUUACCACAAUAUUGCCAAAGAGCGCACGUCAUGCAUGUAGAAAUACAACACCAAAUAUGCUACAACAACAGAGUUGGUAUUAAGUGUCUCCUAUGAUGCCAUUGGAUCUACACAAUGGAUAAAUAAAAGUUGUUCAUCUUGCUUCUGAUUUGAUUAUGAAGGCAUUAAUAGGCUGAACUUACAAUUUAUCAUUUUCAAUAUUGUGACUGUUAACUUAUAAAUUUUGAACGUACGCAAUAGCACUAAAUUUAUUAAUAUAAAUGUAAAAUAUUGUUAAAUUAGCAUCUAUAUACAAAUGACUGUACGAAUAUAUGUAACAAUCAUAAUAGUAGUGAAACUUAAUUUGUAAUGUAUAAUAAUUUAAUUUGUAUAUAUAUAAUGUUAAUAUUUAAAAAUUAAUCUACAAUAAUUAUUAAAAAUGUAAAAUACCAUACUAAUUUAUGAAUGUAAAUACCUCAUACAGUUAAAUAAAUAAAAAUAAAUGUAAAACAAUUUCAAUUUUUCAUUUUUAAACAGAAAAGUAGGUGACCCAUAGAAUGAAGACCAAUGAACCAAAUUUAAGUAACGAAACGGUGACCCAAAAAAUUACCAAUACCUGCGAUUAAUGGGUUACUUUGAAAAUGAUAAAUCGAGCAUUCUCCACUGAUAGAUCCCUGCAAGACGAGUAGAGUUACUUAUCUUAUGGAUUAUUGGUUACCGGUAAUGAAAGCUUGUAUUAUUAUUUUGGUCUCUUUUGUUCUAGCAGCAGGAAAAAAAUUACCAUUUCUCCUCUUUUACGGCAUGUCGGUGUGAUUAUCUUGCUCGCUCCCUCUCAUUGAUUUUGGUGCCAAUGCUGCAUAUGUCUUUCUGCUCUAAUUUUUUUUUGGGAAAGGCAUAUGUCACUCUGUGGUUAGCAGAGCCACCUGUAUUAGUUUUUUUUUAAUCAGCCAUCUAUCAGUGGAGACUGUUCGAUAUAUCAUUUUCAGGCUAACCCUUUAAUCACAGGUAUUGGUCAUUUGUUGGGUAACCGUUUCGUUACUUUAAUUUGGUUCAUUGGUCUUCAUUCUAUAGGUCACCUACUUUUCCGUUUAAAAAUGAAAAAUUUAAA